rnacentral:rRNA from 1 species
GACGAACGCUGGCGGCGUGCUUAACACAUGUAAGUCGAGCGGUAAGGCCCUUUCGGGGGUACGACGAGCGGCGAACGGGUGAGUAACACGUGGGUGACCUGCCCUCAGCUCUGGGAUAAGCCCGGGAAACUGGGUCUAAUACUGGAUAUGACUCCAUGACGCAUGUUGUGGGGUGGAAAGCCUUGUGCGGCUGAGGAUGGGCCCGCGGCCUAUCAGCUUGUUGGUGGGGUGAUGGCCUACCAAGGCGACGACGGGUAGCCGGCCUGAGAGGGCGGACCGGCCACACUGGGACUGAGACACGGCCCAGACUCCUACGGGAGGCAGCAGUGGGGAAGUCUUGCGCAAUGGGCGAAAGCCUGACGCAGCGACGCCGCGUGAGGGAUGACGGCCU